CCUACGGGCGGCUGCAGUGGGGAAUUUUGGACAAUGGGCGCAAGCCUGAUCCAGCCAUUCCGCGUGAGUGAAGAAGGCCUUCGGGUUGUAAAGCUCUUUCGCAAGGGAAGAAAACUUAUCCUCUAACAUAGGAUGAGGUUGACGGUACCUUGAUAAGAAGCACCGGCUAACUACGUGCCAGCAGCCGCGGUAAUACGUACGGAAUGAGCGUGAAUCGGAAUUGCGCGGCCUAAAUCGUACGUCAGCUGUUAAAUCCCCGAGCUCAACUUGGGAACUGCGUUUGAAACUACAAGACUAGAAUAGGUCAGAGGGGGGUAGAAUUCCACGUGUAGCAGUGAAAUGCGUAGAGAUGUGGAGGAAUAUCAAUGGCGAAGGCAGCCCCCUGGGAUCAUAUUGACGCUCAUGCACGAAAGCGUGGGGAGCAAACAGGAUUAGAUACCCCUGUAGUC
rnacentral:rRNA from 1 species